UACGGGGGGGGGCAAGCGUUUGUUCGGAAUUACUGGGCGUAAAGGGCUCGUAGGUGGUCAACUAAGUCGGACGUGAAAUCCCUCGGCUUAACCGGGGAACUGCGUCCGAUACUGGAUGACUUGAGUUCGGGAGAGGGAUGCGGAAUUCCAGGUGUAGCGGUGAAAUGCGUAGAUAUCUGGAGGAACACCGGUGGCGAAGGCGGCAUCCUGGACCGACACUGACGCUGAGGAGCGAAAGCCAGGGGAGCAAACGGG
rnacentral:rRNA from 1 species